rnacentral:sRNA from 1 species
CUGACAGCCUGGAGGACCACAGUCCUCUAUUUAUCCACACCACAUGGGCAGUAGCAGUGCGGGCUUCCCCAGCACUGCCCAGCAACGUCUCAAUCUUGACCCAGAGGGCCUAGUUAAGAGGGUGAGAGGAGAGUUCAUGACCUGCUCCUUCGUUGCUCUGUCUGCU